UACGUAGGGGGCAAGCGUUGUCCGGAAUCAUUGGGCGUAAAGCGCGUGUAGGCGGCUUGGUAAGUCCGCUCUGAAAGCCCGGGGCUCAACCCCGGGAGGCGGGUGGAUACUGUCAAGCUCGAGUCCGGAAGAGGCGAGUGGAAUUCCUGGUGUAGCGGUGAAAUGCGCAGAUAUCAGGAGGAACACCGGUGGCGAAGGCGGGUCUCUAGGCCGAUACUGACGCUGAGGAGCGAAAGCGUGGGGAGCGAACAGG
rnacentral:rRNA from 1 species